rnacentral:rRNA from 1 species
GGANUUGCGNAUGGGCGAAAGCCUGACGCAGCAACGCCGCGUGGGGGAUGAAGCUUCUCGGAGUGUAAACCCCUUUCGACCCGGACGAAGACCUCGCAAGAGGGUUGACAGUACGGGUAUAAGAAGCCCCGGCUAACUACGUGCCAGCAGCCGCGGUAAAACGUAGGGGGCCAGCGUUGCUCGGAAUUACUGGGCGUAAAGGGUCUGUAGGCGGUGCGGCAAGUCGGAAGUGAAAUCUCAGGGCUUAACCCUGAGGCUGCUCCCGAAACUGCUGUGCUCGAGUGCGAGAGAGGUGAGUGGAAUUGCAGGUGUAGCGGUGAAAUGCGUAGAUAUCUGCAGGAACAUCCGAGGCGAAAGCGGCUCACUGGAUCGCAACUGACGCUGAGAGACGAAAGCUAGGGGAGCAAACAGGAUUAGAUACCCUGGUAGUCCUAGCCCUAAACGAUCAGGACUGGGCGUGGGCCCUGUACGGGGCUCGUGCCGCAGCUAACGCGUUAAGUCCUGCGCCUGGGGAGUACGGUCGCAAGACUGAAACUCAAAAGAAUUGACGGA